UAGCUUUCAUUUUCGUUUCCCUCCCUUGAAGAUUAAAAAAAAAAAGAAGAAAAAUCCUGCAGCCGCAACACACCCCUCGGCCCUCACCCAUCAUCUUCUUCUUCGAUUCUCCCUUCCUCACCCUAACCUUCUUCUUCGACCAGACACCCUCAACGCCGAAGCAGCCACACCCUAACCCUAACCCUCUUCUUCGACCAUCUCUGACUCUCGAAUCCCAAUUUCCAUGACGACGAUCACGACGACAACGAACCCCACCGCUCUUCUUCUUCUUCUUCCUCUCCAUUCUUCUCUUCCACAGUUUCAUCAUAAUUUCAUAUUUCCAUUUUCCUGCAAGUUUUCGAGAGGGAAAGAAAGAAAGAAACCUUCAAUUACUUUCUUCUGCUAAAAUUCCACCUUGCUCAUCUUCUUCCUUCUUCUCACUCUGCUACUUCCUCAACCAUGAAAUCCUAGCAUUAUAGUUGCCCAAUUUCAUUUUCUUCAAAUUUGUUCUCAAUAUUUUGCUCCGAGGAAACUUACCUACUUCCCUCGGCCGGUAAUGGCGAGACUUAUUCGGAAUGAGUCUCCGUUUAACUUCUCCAUUUUCAAACACAAGGCUAUUGUUAACUGAAUUCGAUACUAAGUUUGAUGGUGACUGCUGACCUUUUUUCUGUCAAAGAUUCUAAAUUCUGCUUCAAAAUUGGAAAAGUAAAGAAGGAAUAAAAAAAACGGUGAUGUUUAAGAUAAUUUCCUCUAUAUUGAAAAAUCAUCACCAAGAGAGAGAGUUCAAACAAAUACGGAAUAUAAGAGAAAUUCUAAUACAUGACAGUACAAGAAAGGCCAAAAAUAAAGUAGAAUAAACACAAAUAAUAAAAAACGAUUUCAACAAGCAAGCUAUGUAGCCUUUCCCCACAACUGCAGAAUUUAUAGGAGCUCUUGAAAUGGCAAGGACUGAGGUACAUCUAGAAAGUAAAUUUUGACCCUUUUCUCAAUCUUUUCAACGUAUAAGUGAAGGUCAUUGGUUGUCUUUUUUCAUUCCUUCUAAUACAAUUAUUUCUAUCUUUUCUACAAGUUAAGCAACUGUGGAACCACAUUAGAGAGAACAAUUGGCAAGACUUCAGUAAUAGAAGAAAUAUUCUCUAUGAUGAUUCCACCAACAUGUUUCAAAUGAACAAAGCUCUAUCCAAGCAUAUUUGGCCGUUGGAAUCAAAUGAUGGUGUGCUGUGGCUAAUAUUACGCUACUAUUCUAAGAUGUUUGGACUUAGCAUUGCUUCUAAUUGUUAACUAAAACAAUUUAUUUUAGCUAACUUUUAGUGUCGAUCUGGCUUCUAUAUGGAACCUUAAUUGCUAUUUAUAUAUUGGUUUUUUUGACUCUUGGAUUUUGUUCUUACCAUAUGUUUUUCCCCUCCCUUGUCACCUGUUAAGACUCUUGGUCCUAACCUCAAUCUGUCCAACAAACUAUCCUCUCACGGAUUAAAAUCCCACAGCCAAGAAGAAUUAAACCACAGGUAAGUCAAGACCUUCUAUUAAUAUGCCAACGAUAAGAAAUAAGUAGGAAGAAAACAAGGUCUUAAAUCACAAGAGAACAACAGAGAUCAACAAAACAAAACAAGGUCUUAACCUCAAGCUGUUAAGUGCUAUUUAUGUAGAUACUCAGCAAGUACAACACAUUCCUCCUAUCCUGUCAGAAGAGUUCGAACCACAAGUGAGCUCUGAGUUGGUGCUAGGAGUAAGGUGGAAUGGGGAGAUGGCUGCUCAAGAAUGGUUAGUGAAAUGGAAGAAUCUACCUGAAAGUGAAGCCACUUGUGAGGCUGCACCAGCAAUGAAACAACAAUUUCCUUCAUUUCACCUUGAGGACAAGGUGUAUUUCGAGAGGAGCGGUAUUGUAAAGCCCCCGAUUAUCUACACUUAUAAGAGGAAGGGUAAAAAGGGAAAGGAGCAAGGAAACUCGGUUAUGAAGAUUGUGGCGAGGGAAAAUGCAGUUUCAGGAGGAUUAGUGGGAGAGAAAUUCGGUUAAGGGAGGGACCACCAGCAGCGGGUUAAAUAUCACGAUCGGAAAACCAAGAGGGUGUGCAGAAAAAUAAGAAGGAGAGUCUUCAUGGAGAGAUUUCCCAGCUCUCUCGAAUUCCCGCUGGGUUUCUAAGGGUUACUUGUUUUGUUUUGUUGAUCUCUGUUGUUCUCUUGUGAUUUAAGAUCUUGUUUUCUUCCUACUUAUUUCUUAUCGUUGGCAUAUUAAUAGAAGAAGGUCUUGACUUACCUGUGGUUUAAUUCUUCCCCUGUGGUUUAAUUCUUCUUGGCUGUGGGAUUUUAAUCCGUGAGAGGAUAGUUUGUUGGACAGAUUGAGGUUAGGACCGAGAGUCUUAACAUCACCAUCCUCCACAAACGCCACUGUCUCACUAUUUAUUCUUUUGAGUGUGGUGUCUUCUUAAUCAGUCUAUUCUACAAAAUUUUGAUUUUUACUCAGCUUGCAAACCCCCCCAAUGCCCAAAUUUUGAUUUCAUCUUCGGUUCAAUAAAAAAGUAAACAUGUCCAAGUGAAAAGAAGGUAUAAAAGUCAGGUCAAUCUCAAGUCCUUCGCUUCUGAUGUUUGUUUUUUCCUUCAGAUACCAUUUCCAAAGAUCAUAUGCCUCUUCCUUUCUUAGUUGUGGAAUAAAUGUGGUACUUCUAUUUUCAUUAAUGAAUUCUUUACCUGGUUGGAGCAUUGUUGGUAGAAUUGAGAAGACUGGGGGAUCUAAAUAACGUUUGGUAAGCUAUUUUAGAGAUCUAGUAUGCCUUUUUAUAGCAUUGCUUUAGGCUUAAAAAAUAUAGUCACAUCUCUUUCAUUUUCACUAUCUACUUUAUUUACAUUAUUGUUUUGUUCAAAUGUUCCUUUUUAUGAUUGAUUUUUCUUUUCCUCUCCUCCAAAGAUGUAACUCAUUUGGGCCUUGGAAGUUUUUAGGAAGUGCAAGAUUUGGGAAUCUGGAUUGUGUUGAGAAUAUAGUAAUUUUUUAUGGAGGAUUUGGGCUGAUAGAAUUCUUUCUAAACUAACUUCCAAACUGAUCUGUAAUAGUUAAUCCAUUGGGCAUGAUUAUUUGGACCUUUUAUUGUGAUUGGGAGCCAUUUAUGACAAGAUGGCUUUGACUCUGAUUGGCUACUUUGUAUUUGUUGGUUAAUAUACAUUCAUCGUGUAAAGGAAGUUGAAGUAGCUGACCAAUUUUUAUUUUACAUAUGUAUAAUAUAUUCAGGGCAUAGUAUAAUA